rnacentral:pre_miRNA from 14 species
UCUCUGGAGACAAGGGUGGUCGCUGAUCCCGGACAAGACCCCAAAAGAAAGACCCCUAAAGCGGGGAGACCCUCACUUGAGUCUCAGGAUGAUGCGACCCCCCAAGAACUCAUGUGAGACC